rfam:Schistosoma mattheei strain Denwood, Zambia genome assembly, scaffold: SMTD_scaffold0028572
AUCUAGCUGACGAGUCCAAAAUAGGACGAAACGUCAAAUGU